rnacentral:rRNA from 1 species
AUUGAACGCUGGCGGCAGGCUUAACACAUGCAAGUCGAGCGGGGUGAUGUGCUUCGGUACUGAUCCUAGCGGCGGACGGGUGAGUAAUGCUUAGGAAUCUGCCAUUUAGUGGGGGACAACAUUCCGAAAGGAAUGCUAAUACCGCAUACGUCCUACGGGAGAAAGCAGGGGAUCUUCGGACCUUGCGCUAAAUGAUGAGCCUAAGUCGGAUUAGCUAGUUGGUGGGGUAAAGGCCUACCAAGGAGACGAUCUGUAGCGGGUCUGAGAGGAUGAUCCGCCACACUGGGACUGAGACACGGCCCAGACUCCUACGGGAGGCAGCAGUGGGGAAUAUUGGACAAUGGGCGGAAGCCUGAUCCAGCCAUGCCGCGUGUGUGAAGAAGGCCUUUUGGUUGUAAAGCACUUUAAGCGAGGAGGAGGCUACCUGGAUUAAUACUCUGGGGUAGUGGACGUUACUCGCAGAAUAAGCACCGGCUAACUCUGUGCCAGCAGCCGCCGUAAGAC